CCUACGGGAGGCAGCAGUAGGGAAUCUUCCACAAUGGACGCAAGUCUGAUGGAGCAACGCCGCGUGAGUGAAGAAGGGUUUCGGCUCGUAAAGCUCUGUUGGUAGUGAAGAAAGAUAGAGGUAGUAACUGGCCUUUAUUUGACGGUAAUUACUUAGAAAGUCACGGCUAACUACGUGCCAGCAGCCGCGGUAAUACGUAGGUGGCAAGCGUUGUCCGGAUUUAUUGGGCGUAAAGCGAGUGCAGGCGGUUCAAUAAGUCUGAUGUGAAAGCCUUCGGCUCAACCGGAGAAUUGCAUCAGAAACUGUUGAACUUGAGUGCAGAAGAGGAGAGUGGAACUCCAUGUGUAGCGGUGGAAUGCGUAGAUAUAUGGAAGAACACCAGUGGCGAAGGCGGCUCUCUGGUCUGCAACUGACGCUGAGGCUCGAAAGCAUGGGUAGCGAACAGGAUUAGAUACCCGAGUAGUC
rnacentral:rRNA from 1 species